rnacentral:snoRNA from 1 species
AUACAUCUAGUUAAGCUGGUUUAGACUCCCUUCUUUGUGGGGCCCAGUGUGCAGUGCCUGCCAGUCGUAGCUUUCUCAGUAGUGUGUGAGCUUGUUGCCUGAGUUGCUCUAAGGGAUUCAGCC